ensembl:lncRNA
GUGUUGUCUCUAGGGGUGUGUGGGUCUGAUCUGUGGGUCUGUGUUGUCUCUAGGGGUGUGUGGGUCUGAUCUGUGGGUCUGUUGUCUCUAGGGGGGUGUGGGUCUGAUCUGUGGGUCUGUGUUGUCUCUAGGGGGUCUGAUCUGUGGGUCUGUGUUGUCUCUAGGGGUGUGUGUACGGACGUAUGCAGGAGUAGUGGACAGUAAGACGUCAGAAGGCUGGCUGAAAACUCAGUAAGUAAAGAUGUGUACAGUUGAACACGUGACUCCAGUGCUUUCAGUGCUGCCUUAAAACUUGGAAAAACUACCUGGGUGUUCGUUGAAGGAAGUUACGCCUGUGAUUUGGUUGCCGUUUCCUGUAGGUCUGAGUCUGAUUCGUCGAGCAUGAGUCCGAUCCAGGAAGAGGCGGGGUCGGAGGCGGGAGACGACGCUAGUGAUCCGGCGACGGGCGAAUGGCAACAGCAGCCUUCAACCAUUCAGAGCAAGAAGAGCCGCAAGAACAACAGGAUGAGGAAGACUGAUGGUGCAGAGACGACGUCUUCUCUGUUCGACGUACCUCAGGUCUGGUAGCGAUGGAACCCGAGAUCCUGGCUCCUUACCACCUGGGUUCCUACUUCCUACCCCUGGCCACUUGACUCCUACCCCCUAGGACCGGGUUUGGAACGAGGCCUGAAGUUUCAACCAGCUGCACUUAUCUGACUGGCUGAGAGAAACGAAGCCAUAAAUCAUGAUAGGAGUCCUCAGCAUGUGGUAUAGCAGGAUAUUCUUUAGGAAAGAAAAAAACUGUCCCAAAUGGCACCCUAAUCCGUAUAUAGUACACUACUUUUAACUACGGCCAAUAGAGCUCUGGUUCAAACUAGUGCACUGUGGAUUAUUGUGUCCCAAAUAUUUUUUUCACUGCUUUUUUUGUUGUUGCUCGCACUGUUUUUCAUUUCUGAUUGAUUGAUAAAUCCCCUGUAUCGUGAUGGAUUAGGUAGUUACCACUCUGCAUGUUGUGGCGCUACUGACAGCUGUUCAGUACAGAGAGAACUCACACCCAGGCUCUACUCGCCUAACCCACCAGGCUCUGAAAUGGCAGCUUGAUCUCUGUUCCACUACUCUUAACCAGGGUCAAUAGCGCUCUGGUCAAAACUAGUGC